GAUGAACGCUGGCGGCGUGCCUAAUACAUGCAAGUCGAACGCUGGAAAUCUAGCUUGCUAGAUUGAAGGAGUGGCGAACGGGUGAGCAAUACAUAAGCAACCUACCCACGAAGACUGGGAGAAUCUCUGGAAACGGGGACUAAUACCGGAUAGGUAAUCGGAAGGCAUCUUCUGAUUAUUAAAGGUUAAAAACACUGGUGGAUGGGCUUAUGGCGCAUUAGUUAGUUGGUGAGGUAACGGCCCACCAAGACGAUGAUGCGUAGCCGGCCUGAGAGGGUGAACGGCCACAUUGGGACUGAGACACGGCCCAGACUCCUACGGGAGGCAGCAGUAGGGAAUUUUCGGCAAUGGGGGAAACCCUGACCGAGCAACGCCGCGUGAGUGAUGACGGCCUUCGGGUUGUAAAGCUCUGUUGUAAGGGAAGAACGGUAGAUAGAGAAUAUCUAAAUGACGGUACCUUACCAGAAAGCCACGGCUAACUACGUG
rnacentral:rRNA from 1 species